GACAGCUAUUUAGGUAGUGCCUCGAGUAUGAGACUGAUGGGGGUAAAGCACUGUUAUGGCUAGGGGGUUAUUGCAACUUACCAACCCAUGGCAAACUAAGAAUACCAUCAAGUUGCUCCUCGGGAGACAGACAUCGGGUGCUAACGUCCGGUGUCAAGAGGGAAACAACCCAGACCGCCAGCUAAGGUCCCAAAUGAUAGAUUAAGUGGUAAACGAAGUGGGAAGGCACAGACAGCCAGGAUGUUGGCUUAGAAGCAGCCAUCAUUUAAAGAAAGCGUAAUAGCUCACUGGUCGAGUCUUCCUGCGCGGAAGAUGUAACGGGGCUCAAA
rnacentral:rRNA from 1 species